rnacentral:rRNA from 1 species
ACGCUGGCGGCGUGCUUAACACAUGCAAGUCGAACGGAAAGGCCUAAGCUUGCUUGGGUACUCGAGUGGCGAACGGGUGAGUAACACGUGAGUGAUCUGCCCUCAACUUCGGGAUAAGCCUGGGAACUGGGUCUAAUACUGGAUAGGACCAUCCUUUAGUGUGUGAUGGUGGAAAGUUUUUUCGGUUGGGGAUGAGCUCGCGGCCUAUCAGCUUGUUGGUGGGGUAAUGGCCUACCAAGGCGUCGACGGGUAGCCGGCCUGAGAGGGUGUACGGCCACAUUGGGACUGAGACACGGCCCAGACUCCUACGGGAGGCAGCAGUGGGGAAUAUUGCACAAUGGGCGGAAGCCUGAUGCAGCGACGCCGCGUGAGGGAUGACGGCCUUCGGGUUGUAAACCUCUUUCGACAGGGACGAAGCUUUUGUGACGGUACCUGUAUAAGAAGCACCGGCUAACUACGUGCCAGCAGCCGCGGUAAUACGUAGGGUGCGAGCGUUGUCCGGAAUUACUGGGCGUAAAGAGCUCGUAGGUGGUUUGUCGCGUCGUCUGUGAAAUUCCGGGGCUUAACUCCGGGCGUGCAGGCGAUACGGGCAUAACUUGAGUGCUGUAGGGGAGACUGGAAUUCCUGGUGUAGCGGUGAAAUGCGCAGAUAUCAGGAGGAACACCGAUGGCGAAGGCAGGUCUCUGGGCAGUAACUGACGCUGAGGAGCGAAAGCAUGGGGAGCGAACAGGAUUAGAUACCCUGGUAGUCCAUGCCGUAAACGGUGGGCGCUAGGUGUAGGGGACUUCCACGUCUUCUGUGCCGUAGCUAACGCAUUAAGCGCCCCGCCUGGGGAGUACGGCCGCAAGGCUAAAACUCAAAGGAAUUGACGGGGGCCCGCACAAGCGGCGGAGCAUGUGGAUUAAUUCGAUGCAACGCG